rnacentral:misc_RNA from 1 species
AAACAGAUUCGAGUUCCCUUCAAAAGCACUAACAAUAUCAUCACUAUCAAUUUCAGGCAGAACCCAUUCCUUCUUAGACCAAACACCGGACCCAUAAGGCCAAGUGGUCUUACCGACACGAGAAUCAAACAAGGAUCGCCAAUACUGACCAUCAAACUUCUUUAAGGCAUCCAUAUCAUGCUGAACAUCAAGUAAUCCACCAGACCGACUCCGAUAAACAAUCUCAUCUAGAGAAUACCAUUCAUCAGAAGUAGGACCAGCAUUAAAAGGAACAUACCUGGCUGAAAAAUUAUGAGAUGAGCAGUGACGGCGCGCUUCUUCACGGAUGUUCUCGUCAGCAGGACGUCGGUGCUUCUGUUGAGAAAUCGCAUCGUUUGUGGCUGUAGCUUUAAUCGGAGCGAAGAAAUGAAUACCAUUAUUGGGUUUUGAAGUUGAUUGAUGAUGAAGUUGAGGAAGACCAGGAGAGAGGAAAGAGGAUCUAAG